UUACAACAAAAUCCAGAGCCCAAAAACACAAAAUUCACAAGACUUGCCACCCAAUAAAAUGAGCCGAGCCGACAUGCCAAGAAGCACGGACAUCUGAAGGCUUCCUGGAAGGGCUACCACUCCUUCUGGGCUUUGAAGGCUGGCUGAAGUAUGGACUGGCAGGACUAGAGGAACAGGCACAUUGGACAAAAUGUGUUGGGUGUUGGACCUAGGACCUUAUACAUACGGAGCAUGUGUUCUACAGCCAAGGAACAUGCCUGGCCUCUGGAUGUCUCAUUUUUCAGCUUUCAUCUCUUUCUUGCUGUCUCCUCAUCCUUCAUUUGGGGUACAAGAUGGCUGAAUUUA